rnacentral:tRNA from 77 species
CAUUAGAUGACUGAAAG